rnacentral:lncRNA from 1 species
GGUACUAGACAGCGCGUUGGGAUUUACACCGCGCGGCACGCAAUAGACCCGAACGUGCACGACUACGCACGCACGGGACCAGCAGAUAUUCGGAUCGCAUGCCUUCCGCUGCAACCGAUGAUCCAUCCACAAAACAGAGCAGCUCGCUCACACCUUUUUUCUUAUAAUCCAGUGGAGCGUAUGAUACUGCUAGCAUCUC